ensembl:lncRNA
AUGCCCAUUUUACCACAAGUUGAUAUGGUUCCUUGGGGUCUUAAUGAAAUGUCUGUAACAUAUUUUGGUCAAAAUACCACAAGGAUCAUUAUUAAUGGCAUCCUUUUUACCCUGCCAAACACAGCCAUUCUGUCAGCGAGCUGUUUUGAGCGCUUAUGCUAAUGAGCCAGCUAACCCCUCCUCCCCCCUCCUCUACGGUUUUGGGCUAAUCAUUCUAACCUUUUAGUUUUUAGCUACUCAUUCUUACCAAGUUUAGUUUUGUAAAAUAUGGCGACUGGAUACGAGAUUGUUCAGACCCUGAACAAGAAGAGGCUCCCAAACAAGUUCGAGAAUUUAGGGUACAACAGGACGUUUCUGAAUGGCGUAAUUGUGCCAAGUGUGAGCAAAUGCCUACAGAGCCUGAGAAUGGAUGCUGCAGGGAGAUGCCACAGGUAACAAGAAGACUACUGCAGCUUCCAAACCAACCAACGUGCAUCAUCCGGGACUUUUAGCUGUGUGAUUGAAUGUGUUCUCACUACAGAAUGCAUUCAACAUCUAUAGAGCAGACUAUGGGCCUUAUGUCUAAGGGGAAUAUAGCAGUAAGUUGUUUUGUUUUUUAUGCAUACGAGUCAUCAGUGAUUUCUGCAAUACAAAUAUAACUGGGGA